rnacentral:rRNA from 1 species
CUGGCUUGAAACAUCUGGCCGGCCACGGUUUCGUGUGUUAGUGCUUGAUGUUCUGGCCAUCCUUCCAAUCGCUACUGGCUAUUCUUCAUUGAAUGGUCAGUAGUAUUGGAUCUUUUACUUUGAAAAAAUUAGAGUGUUUCAAGCAGGCUUUAUGCUAUGAAUACAUUAGCAUGGAAUAAUAAUUUAGGACUUCGGUUCUAUUUUGUUGGUUUCUAGGACUGAAGUAAUGAUUGAUAGGGAUAGUUGGGGGUGCUAGUAUUCAGCGGCCAGAGGUGAAAUUCUCGGAUUCGCUGAAGACUAACUUAUGCGAAAGCAUUC